AAUGCUAACAGAUAGUUUUGCUAGCAGGCUAGCUAGUUAGUUAGCUAACAAGAAAUGUACUAAUAACCUUGUCAUGCCGCAGUUGAUGUUAUACCUUUACCUUUUCUUCCGUUUUUUAAUGCCAUUUAGGUGCCGAAUUCAAUGUACUAUAGUCACAAGUAUUGGGGUGUUUGUCUUGGUUCCAGGAGCCAAUCUCUUGAUAUAGGGAUUUUGUGAAAAAUCAAGGGAGGAUUUGAAAGGGGAAAUUAACUUAUGGAACCAGAGCCACUAGAGUUUGUCCCUGGGAACUUUAAAAAUCAAACAUUACCAAGUUUAUCGCAAGGAAGUUGCAUUCGACAAAAUAUAUGUAUGACACAGGAUGAUUCUAAAUAUACUGUACAUUAUCUACAGUAUAAAACAUUUAGUGUGCAUGAAAACCAAUAUUGUUCAUCGGUUAAAAACAUUAAGCCUCACAUCCAUGGUUUAGUUCAUCAUCUGUAUUUACCAAUGAUCAAAAUGUUCAUUUCCAGAAAUCCUCACUGGCCAACAAGUGCACCAUGAAGACUGAAAUGCACCAUUAAUGAGAUCGGUGGUUUAAAGUACCAAAAGCUAGCCAACCUAGCGCCCUGGAGUCCUCCCAUUCGCCGUAUGAAGCCUUCACAAGUAAACAGUGUCUUUGCUGAUUACAACGCCUCUCUCUCUCGGCAGCCCAAGGUCUGCUGCUGACCUCACUUCUUCCCAGGAGUGACUGAGCCUGAGGUCAUGUCUGUCCGAGCGUUUCUCCACACUGACCCACUUUGACUUCUCCCCGCUCUCACCUCCACCUUCUCUUUCAACAUAUGAAGCUCUGGAUGAAGAGAGCAGCCGGCUUUGCUCUCACGGAGAUCCUAAUUGAAACUGUGCAAGAAAGCGAACGUGAGGUGAAUGGUUCAGAUAAGGACACUGUGUUUUUUUUUACCUACUGGUAUCAUGCAGUGUGUAAACACCACCUAUAAACAAAAGAUUAAGAGCCGGUAUAUUCAAAAUGUCUGUCAAAGACGACUUCAGUAAAGCUGAGUGGACACUACAACCUGAAUGCCUGAACAAUGGAAUCAAAUAUUACAACCACCUUUGUGAAAAGUAUGAUGUUUAUUUAUAUUGAUCAAGUAAUCAAAUAACUGGUUGGGAGCAGCUUAAACAUAAAGUAUAAAACACAGCCCCAUGCAGACAACAAAUAAUAAACAUACGACCUCAAAUAUGGAAUAAGAUCUUUAAUAAUACUGGUAAUAUUUAAGUAAACUGAUGGAUGGAAAAAACUGCUUUCACGAUUGAUACGAUCGGUCUUGAAAGAAGGAUCAGUCCAGUCAAUAUAAAACCAUUACUAAUCUACCAUUACUAAUCUGAGUGCAGAGGCGUUGAACAUUUUCUAUAGAAAACUGGAGGUGAUGAAGGGUUUCACAAGAGAAAAUAUUACCUUGAAAUAUUUUUCUAAAAUUAUAAAAUGACAUAUGUAUCACCUGAUGACACAUGUCGACUUACAUAAAGAAAUAAAGAUUCACACCGGUUUAAAUUUAAGCAGAAUGGACAAAUACUGUUUUUUGGGGGUUUUUUGAGCUCAUGUCAGUCAAACCUCUGGUACACAUCUGGUUUGAGAACGAGGGGAUUAACAAAUAUGACAACUGGGUGGUUUCACUCUGAACCUUGAAAACAUGACAUUACAAAGUGAAGGACUCUGUACAACCUUGAUCAGUUUAAACACACAAACCAAGUUACCAAGAUUUGGUCUACACGGCUUUCUGCAG